AAGGCUGGGCUGUGAUGGGGAGGGAAAUUUUAGUACCGAAGGUCAUGAUCUCCAGCUGCCAAGAAAAGCUUCUAGCCAGGCGAAGGUGCCCGUACCGCAAACCGACACAGGUAGGCGAGCAGAGCAUGCUAAGGCGCGCGGAGUAACUCUCGUUAAGGAACUCGGCAACAUGACCCCGUAACUUCGGGAGAAGGGGUGCCUCGGUAGGGUGAAUAGCCCGAGGGGGCCGCAGUGAAAAGGCCCAAGCGACUGUUUAGCAAAAACACAGGUCUGUGCGAAGCCGUAAGGCGAAGUAUACGGGCUGACGCCUGCCCGGUGCUGGAAGGUUAAGGGGAGCGGUUAGGGGCAACCCGAAGCUGUGAACCGAAGCCCCAGUAAACGGCGGCCGUAACUAUAACGGUCCUAAGGUAGCGAAAUUCCUUGUCAGGUAAAUUCUGACCCGCACGAAUGGCGUAACGACUUGGGCGCUGUCUCAACGAGAGAUCCGGUGAAAUUUUAAUACCUGUGAAGAUGCAGGUUACCCGCGACAAGACGGAAAGACCCCAUGGAGCUUUACUGCAGCUUGAUAUUGGACUUUGGUACGAUCUGUACAGGAUAGGUGGGAGCCUUAGAAGCCGGAGCGCCAGCUUCGGUGGAGGCACCGUUGGGAUACCACCCUGAUCGUAUCGGAGUUCUAACCUGGUACCGUGAAACCGGUACAGGGACCGUGUCAGGCGGGCAGUUUGACUGGGGCGGUCGCCUCCUAAAAUGUAACGGAGGCGCCCAAAGGUUCCCUCAGAAUGGUUGGAAAUCAUUCGCAGCGUGCAAAGGCAUAAGGGAGCUUGACUGCGAGACCUACAAGUCGAGCAGGGACGAAAGUCGGGCUUAGUGAUCCGGUGGUACCGAAUGGAAGGGCCAUCGCUCAACGGAUAAAAGCUACCCUGGGGAUAACAGGCUUAUCUCCCCCAAGAGUCCACAUCGACGGGG
rnacentral:rRNA from 1 species